rnacentral:rRNA from 1 species
UACCCUUGACAUGUCCGGAAUCCUGCAGAGAUGCGGGAGUGCCCGAAAGGGAAUCGGAACACAGGUGCUGCAUGGCUGUCGUCAGCUCGUGUCGUGAGAUGUUGGGUUAAGUCCCGCAACGAGCGCAACCCUUAUCAUUAGUUGCUACGCAAGGGCACUCUAAUGAGACUGCCGGUGACAAACCGGAGGAAGGUGGGGAUGACGUCAAGUCCUCAUGGCCCUUAUGGGUAGGGCUUCACACGUCAUACAAUGGUCGGUACAGAGGGUUGCCAAGCCGCGAGGUGGAGCCAAUCCCAGAAAGCCGAUCGUAGUCCGGAUUGUUCUCUGCAACUCGAGAGCAUGAAGUCGGAAUCGCUAGUAAUCGCGGAUCAGCAUGUCGCGGUGAAUACGUUCCCGGGCCUG